UGGGGUGGGCGGCCUGAGGCCCGGCUGCCGGGUCACUUGGGACCUGCCACCGUCUGUGAGGCCCUCGGGGAAGCAAUGACAUGCCACGAAGCAGUGUAAGGGUGAUGAGCUCAGGAAGUCAGUGACGUCCUUGUGGCUGCAGGAGCUUUGAAGGAGACAAAUGAGGCCUUAUGUCACCUCCAAACCAAAUACUUAAGAGGAAAAGAUCAUCCCUGCCAUUUUCCUGUGCCAUGGGAAAAGCAGAGGCGUGGAGAGCUACGGUCCAAGUACUGUAUGGAAGUAAAUACUGGUUAUAUG